rnacentral:rRNA from 1 species
CCUACGGGGGGCUGCAGUGGGGAAUAUUGGACAAUGGGGGCAACCCUGAUCCAGCCAUGCCGCGUGUGUGAAGAAGGCCCUCGGGUUGUAAAGCACUUUCAGUGAGGAAGAACGCCUGGUGGUUAAUACCCAUCAGGAAAGACAUCACUCACAGAAGAAGCACCGGCUAACUCCGUGCCAGCAGCCGCGGUAAUACGGAGGGUGCGAGCGUUAAUCGGAAUUACUGGGCGUAAAGCGCGCGUAGGUGGCUGGAUAAGCCGGUUGUGAAAGCCCCGGGCUCAACCUGGGAACGGCAUCCGGAACUGUCAAGCUAGAGUGCAGGAGAGGAAGGUAGAAUUCCCGGUGUAGCGGUGAAAUGCGUAGAGAUCGGGAGGAAUACCAGUGGCGAAGGCGGCCUUCUGGACUGACACUGACACUGGGGUGCGAAAGCGUGGGUAGCAAACAGGAUUAGAUACCCGAGUAGUC